CCCUUAGAUGUUCUGGGCCGCACGCGCGCUACACUGAUGCAUUCAACGAGUUUCUUCCUGGUCCGAGAGGAAUGGGUAACCUUUUGAAAGUGCAUCGUGAUAGGGAUAGACUAUUGCAAUUAUUGGUCUUCAACGAGGAAUUCCUAGUAGACGUAGUUCAUCAGACUGCAUCGAUUACGUCCCUGCCCUUUGUACACACCGCCCGUCGCUCCUACCGAUUGAAUGCUCAGGUGAGCCAUUCGGACUUUCAUCAUGCUGGUUUCCAGUUUUGAUGAAGGAAAAUCUUGCGAACCUUAUCAUUUAGAGGAAGGAGAAGUCGUAACA
rnacentral:rRNA from 1 species